rnacentral:rRNA from 1 species
GUGUCAGCCGCCGCGGUAAUACGGGGGGGGCAAGCGUUGUUCGGAAUUACUGGGCGUAAAGGGCGCGUAGGCGGUGCUCUAAGUUAGAUGUGAAAACUCUGGGCUCAACCCAGAGCCUGCAUCUAAAACUGGAGUGCUAGAGUUCUGGAGGGGGUAGCGGAAUUCCUGGUGUAGCGGUGAAAUGCGUAGAUAUCAGGAGGAACACCGGUGGCGAAGGCGGCUACCUGGACAGAAACUGACGCUGAGGCGCGAAAGCUAGGGGAGCAAACAGGAUUAGAAACCCCUGUAGUCC